CUACUGAAAAUAAAGAUCUUGAAAAUUAUAUGUGUCUUGGCGAACAGGUUGUUGCGAGAAGCUUUUAACUCACAAGUGCCAACACGCGACCCCGACGUGUUAAGGAGCGCGGUCGGGGCAGAAGUGGAGCGAGAAUCUGUGUUAUGUGGCUAGUUUUCCUUCGAU